rnacentral:siRNA from 1 species
UUAUAAUAUGAACUACGUAUGG